rnacentral:rRNA from 1 species
CAGCAGCCACGGUAAUACGUAGGGUGCAAGCGUUAAUCGGAAUUACUGGGCGUAAAGCGUGCGCAGGCGGUUCUAUAAGACAGAUGUGAAAUCCCCGGGCUCAACCUGGGAACCGCAUUUGUGACUGUAGAGCUGGAGUACGGCAGAGGGGGAUGGAAUUCCGCGUGUAGCAGUGAAAUGCGUAGAUAUGCGGAGGAACACCGAUGGCGAAGGCAAUCCCCUGGGCCUGUACUGACGCUCAUGCACGAAAGCGUGGGGAGCAAACAGGAUUAGAUACCCGUGUAGUCCCUGUCUCUUAUAC